GACGAACGCUGGCGGCGUGCUUAACACAUGCAAGUCGAACGGAGUGGCGAACGGGUGAGUAACGCGUAAUCAACCUGCCCUUCAGAGGGGGACAACAGUUGGAAACGACUGCUAAUACCGCAUACUGCAUGAGGGGUUUGCGUCGGAUUAGCUAGUUGGAGGGGUAACGGCCCGCCAAGUGGAUGACCAGUAGCCGAUCUGAGAGGGUGAACGGCCACAUUGGGACGGAGACCCGGACCAGACUCCUACGGGAGGCAGCAGUAGUGAAUCUGCCGCAAUGGGCGCAAGCCUGACGCAGCAACGCCGCGUGAGUGAAGAAGGUUUUCGGAUCGGAAAGCUCGUUUGUAAGGGAACGGUAUCUGAAGAAGAAGCAACGGCUAACUACGUGCCAGCAGCCGCGGUAAUAC
rnacentral:rRNA from 1 species